CCAAAAGUUGAUGCUGUUGCUAUGCAGCCUCUUGUUAGCUUGUUAGAAUAACAAAUAAUAGUUAGACAUUUACUACUUUGUGUGCUUUGGAAAUUCAGACUGUUUAGAGCACACACUGCCCUCUCUGGCCAAGGAGCAGGGUUGAUCUAAGCUCUCUGACUUCACAAAGGCAGUCAAGCACCCAAGCUAACUUGCUAAAGUUGGCUAGCUCGCUUGCUACUUCCAGACACAAAGAAACACAACCACGGUCGCUAACCAGGAUACUUCUGCUUCAAAGAAAGAUCCCAAUCUGAGAUGUCCCCUGCUCCUACAGGGUCACCCUGCUUCAACAGGAUGGUUGCCCUAGAAUUACUCCUAUUCAGAAAUAACUCUGCUACAACAAAGUUUCUAACUAGAGGUGUCUUUGCUUCAACAAAAACAAUGUGCACAACCUGUUCUUAGAACAGGAUUUUCUAUGAUGGAUCAAAUAAAACAAGUCCCACCCUGAAUUUAUCUUAUGUGUCCGGAAUGACGAAUCCACUCACUGACACUCCCGGCAGGUCUGAGGUGGGACUUAUGAGCCAUGUCUAACGGAGCCCCUGUGCGCAGUUUAACCUCUGUCUCCUGGGAGCAAUCAGCAAGCGGAGUUAGCAUCCCACAGCUGUCACCAAUUUGUCAUGGAAUAUCUAAUCAAAGGGAAGAGAGACUGCAGAUUCUUUCAAACAACACUUUAUCAUAAGUGGAGAAUCAACCUCCCACUCAACAGUGCAUAGUUGAAAAGCUCCACGAACAGUGCCGGUUCCAUGCUUUUAUAGAGAAAAUACAUACAACCCCUUUCUGUAUAUGUGGCAGUCAGCAGAUAGUGUGGAAAAGGUCAUUUGUUGUCUAUGUAAACUCAAGAUACCACAAGGUUGAUAGCCCGAGAGCUCAACCGUCUAACUGCAUUCACAACAACACUAUAUUAUACUCCUUUCUGCAAGGUUCCAUACAUGUGACUUUCUGUUGAUAGUAAACCCACAGGAUUUCACAUGCUGUGGUUGCACCCUAAUGUCUCUUAGCUGUAAGCCCAGUCUUAUGACUAUGUCACACCAAGACACGUUUGUAUCAGGUUUGAAAAAACACUAGCAUAUAACAAGAGACUAUACUUUAAGCAGUAAAACACGAGAUAGCAUUUUCCGCGACAGUACUUUCAGAUCACUGAAACUCCACCUGAUGUGGUGGAAGUUGUCGAACCAGAUCAGAACGCCUUCGAGGACCCCCUUCAGGUACGGACUGACCAGUCAAGGUGAGACUGAACAUGGACAAGGCGCAGGAGAAACAGAAGGAGAGCUACCGGAGCAGAAUCAAGAAGGGGACCAAGUGCUACGACAUUCGGGCAAAUGACUUGGUUUGGAAGACGGAUGAAAGGAAGGCGAGAGCUGGGAAACCUCGCUGCUCUUUCACCUCCUAGCUGAGGGUUACCUCAGUGGAAGCAACUGAAAACACUGACACCCUACACUUCAGUGAAGCCCAAAGACCUAGGGGUUCUGCCCAUCACCCAGAUGUGGAUCCACCUGAUGUCCUCCAUUACCAAACACCCUCCAACUUUCCAUUACAUCAGCUACUGUUAUUGUCAUGUUGUCAUUAUCUGCUAAGAAAGUUUACUGGGCUCAUAAUAUGUGAGAUACACGGAUGAACUAAAAACACUAGCACUGCAAACACUCAGAACGAAGAGAGCAGCAGUGCCUGGUCUUUGCAGUCUCCCUCUUCAAGUCCCCCUUCUGGGACUGGCUGCCUGUUGAGAAGUGACAGGCAGAAUCUCCCACCCACACAACAACCACCUCCUCUAUAUUCCACACACCAGAAUUCAGUACUUUAGUCUAUGAAUGCCAUGUGAGUGUAUAAAUAAGUUAAUGACUAUACCAAAAACGAUGAACGUUUAUGUAUUCAAAUCUGUAAUAUUGGUGUUUCACAAGGUGUUCAUUAUUGUAAAUUGAAAGGUAUCCCAUUUCCUCCACAUUAUUAAUUGUUGUACCCUAGAACCUACAAUAAAUGCAUAUAUAUUCAACCA